AGUGAACGCUGGCGGUAGGCCUAACACAUGCAAGUCGAACGGCAGCACAGUAAGAGCUUGCUCUUACGGGUGGCGAGUGGCGGACGGGUGAGGAAUACAUCGGAAUCUACUUUUUCGUGGGGGAUAACGUAGGGAAACUUACGCUGAUACCGCAUACGACCUACGGGUGAAAGCAGGGGAUCUUCGGACCUUGCGCGAUUGAAUGAGCCGAUGUCGGAUUAGCUAGUUGGCGGGGUAAAGGCCCACCAAGGCGACGAUCCGUAGCUGGUCUGAGAGGAUGAUCAGCCACAAUGGAACUGAGACACGGUCCAGACUCCUACGGGAGGCAGCAGUGGGGAAUAUUGGACAAUGGGCGCAAGCCUGAUCCAGCCAUACCGCGUGGGUGAAGAAGGCCUUCGGGUUGUAAAGCCCUUUUGUUGGGAAAGAAAAGCAGCAGGUUAAUACCCCGCUGUUCUGACGGUACCCAAAGAAUAAGCACCGGCUAACUUCGUG
rnacentral:rRNA from 1 species